rnacentral:rRNA from 1 species
GCAUAUCAAUAAGCGGAGGAAAAGAAACCAACAGGGAUUGCCCUAGUAACGGCGAGUGAAGCGGCAACAGCUCAAAUUUGAAAUCUGGCGUAAGCCCGAGUUGUAAUUUGCAGAGGAUGCUUCUGGGCAGCGGCCGGUCUAAGUUCCUUGGAACAGGACGUCAUAGAGGGUGAGAAUCCCGUAUGUGACCGGCUGGCACCCUCCACGUAGCUCCUUCGACGAGUCGAGUUGUUUGGGAAUGCAGCUCUAAAUGGGAGGUAAAUUCCUUCUAAAGCUAAAUACCGGCCAGAGACCGAUAGCGCACAAGUAGAGUGAUCGAAAGAUGAAAAGCACUUUGGAAAGAGAGUUAAAAAGCACGUGAAAUUGUUGAAAGGGAAGCGCUUGCGACCAGACUUGUCGGCGGUGUUCCGCCGGUCUUCUGACCGGUUCACUCGCCGUCGGCAGGCCAGCAUCAUCUGGGGCCGCCGGAUAAAGGCUUAGGGAAUGUAGCUCCCCUCGGGGAGUGUUAUAGCCCUUUGCACAAUACGGCGCGCCCCGGGUGAGGUCCGCGUCUCGGCAAGGAUGCUGGCGUAAUGGUCGUAAGCGGCCCGUCUUGAAACACGGACCAAGGAGUCGAUUAUCUAUGCGAGUGUUCGGGCGUCAAACCCCUACGCGUAAUGAAAGUGAACGGAGGUGGGAACCUUUACCGGUGCACCAUCGACCGAUCCGGAUGUCUUCGGAUGGAUUUGAGUAAGAGCAUAGCUAAUCGGACCCGAAAGAUGGUGAACUAUGCCUGAAUAGGGUGAAGCCAGAGGAAACUCUGGUGGAGGCUCGCAGCGGUUCUGACGUGCAAAUCGAUCGUCAAAUUUGGGUAUAGGGGCGAAAGACUAAUCGAACCAUCUAGUAGCUGG